CCUACGGGAGGCAGCAGUAGGGAAUAUUGCACAAUGGGGGAAACCCUGAUGCAGCAACGCCGCGUGAGUGAAGAAGUAUUUCGGUAUGUAAAGCUCUGUCGGCAGGGAAGAAGGAAGACGGUACCUGCCUAAGAAUCUCCGGCUAACUACGUGCCGGCAGCCGCGGUAAUACGUAGGGGGCAAGCGUUAUCCGGAUUUACUGGGUGUAAAGUGAGCGUAGACGGUUGUGUAAGUCUGAAGUGAAAGCCCGCGGCUCAACCGCGGAACUGCUUUGGAAACUGUAUAGCUUGAGUACUGGAGAGGAAGGCGGAACUCCUAGUGUAGCGGUGAAAUGCGUAGAUAUGAGGAGGAACACCAGUGGCGAAGGCGGCUCGCUUGACAGAAACUGACGCUGAGGCUCGAAAGCGUGGGGAGCAAACAGGAUUAGAUACCCGUGUAGUC
rnacentral:rRNA from 1 species